rnacentral:rRNA from 1 species
AUUGAACGCUGGCGGCAGGCUUAACACAUGCAAGUCGAGCGGGGGAAGGUAGCUUGCUACCGGACCUAGCGGCGGACGGGUGAGUAAUGCUUAGGAAUCUGCCUAUUAGUGGGGGACAACAUCUCGAAAGGGAUGCUAAUACCGCAUACGUCCUACGGGAGAAAGCAGGGGAGCUGCGGACCUUGCGCUAAUAGAUGAGCCUAAGUCGGAUUAGCUAGUUGGUGGGGUAAAGGCCUACCAAGGCGACGAUCUGUAGCGGGUCUGAGAGGAUGAUCCGCCACACUGGGACUGAGACACGGCCCAGACUCCUACGGGAGGCAGCAGUGGGGAAUAUUGGACAAUGGGGGGAACCCUGAUCCAGCCAUGCCGCGUGUGUGAAGAAGGCCUUAUGGUUGUAAAGCACUUUAAGCGAGGAGGAGGCUACUUUAGUUAAUACCUAGAGAUAGUGGACGUUACUCGCAGAAUAAGCACCGGCUAACUCCGUGCCAGCAGCCGCAGUAA